UUUGAAAUUGACAAUCCUCCUGCUCUCAUUUCUCUCUCUACUCUGAGUUUCUUUUUCCUCUUGUUCAAAAGAAACCCUAAAAUCAUAAAAUCGUGUCAUUCGUAGAAUGAAAAUUGGAUGCUAUAUCUGGAACAGAUUUGGGUUUGUAGAGAAAGAAUAAGCAAACGCUAUAAAGAAGGAGAGAAUCGGUGGGUUUCGGCCGACCACUGGUGGCGGCGAUGGUGGAUGGCAUUUAGAGUGGCGGAAAAAGGAUGGCUUCGUUUGUGGUUGUUUAGACUACGAAGACACUGCUCCUCUCCCUUGAUAAGUAACCAUUUCGCUUGAUUGGAAUGCUUUUACCUCAGUUGUUGAUGUUGCAGCUAAAUGAAGUAUAUGACUGUAGCAAGCCCCAUUUAAACUUUUGCUUCAGAUUGUGACUUUGGGUUCAAAGUUGAUUUUGUUGGUUGCCCCUUUCUUUAUGCUUAGGAAUCUUGAACCCUAACAACGAGUAUGCAUCCCUGAAUCCCAAAGAAGGUAGCUUUCACGGAUGGAAAUUGUAUGGUUUUGUGAAGCUCAGAUUUUUGCAGAUUCAACAGUUAAGUCACAGGUCAACUGAGGCGUUUUCCACUUUAGUCAAAGUAAACAAGUCUAUACCUUAAGAUGAAGCUGUGUGGGCCAUUAAAGUUGCAGAGUACACCAGCAGUUAGCUAUUCUAAGGAUGAUUGUCAAAACUGGGUAAAGAUGGUGAUGACUUGUUGAUGGCAAAGAACCCUAGGUCUGAGGUUUACACAGAAGAACAUGAAAACCUGUUGGGUGAGGCUGCUGGGAAACAGGUUUGGGCCAGAGCUGAUGCCCUUGAUGCUGCUUAAAACACCACUGCUGUUAUUGAAAGAUCCUGGCCCCAAAACCCUAACCACUGCAUGCUUGCUCGAGAGAAGAUGUUAUAUGGGUUGUAUUUGGCGGAUCUAGAAAAUCAGAGGGUUAUUUUCUAUUUGGCGGAUCUAGAAAAUCAUGCUUGCUCGAGAGAAGAUGUUAUAUGCUUGCUCGAGAGAAGAUGUUAUAUGGGUUGUAUUUGGCGGAUCAGCCCCUCGACCUAGAACGAGUUAGUUUUUGUGUCUCAAGUUUAUAACAUAGAGGGUUAUUUUCUAUUUGUUUACUCAAGAGGAAGAAAGAUGUUAUAUGGGUUGUAUUUGGCGGAUCUAGAAAAUCAUUAUAGGGGCAACGUUAAAAAAGGGGGUAACGAAAUCGACAAAACAUCAAUUUUUCCAAAAUUUACACUAAAUUUACACUACCGUUCGAGCGUCAAGGGGCAACGGAGGUUACCCCUUCUAACAAGGUAUAUCCGCCCAACUGGGUCAUACUUGACAAUAAUGAAUCCACACAGAACGCCACUAAGCCAUCCACAUCAAACCGUAGUAAUGAUCCGGAUGAUGCUUUUUUCUGGUUAUUGGUGUUUGGAAUCAUUUCUUUAUCAUGUUUUAUGGUCUGUUCAACUUUGAUUUUCUGUUUAUGGUCUGAACCAAGAAGAUGCUCGUGUUUUAUAUACAGAUGUUCAAUUUCACUUGGAUAUAUAAAUAUGUUGGCUUCCGAGUUUGCCCCUUAUGUCUGCCAUGUUAGUUUAAUCGCUGGUUCAAGGGCUGAGGUUUUGAAGCCUGACAAAAAUCAGUAAUAUCCUAAAAGAUGGUAAGUAAUUUUCUAAAACAGAUUCGUUUCAUGAGUUUUAGUUUUUGUUGGAGCAAAUAUUUUUAUUUUAAACUGUUCUUCGUAGAAGAACUAGAGUUAAUCCAUUCAUGAGAGCUGAUCUACCUGAAGUUCAGGUUAUUGGACUUUCUUUGACUAUUUUCAGAUGGUCUUCUCUGUCACUUUGUUCAAUGCAUAGUGGUGCUGCUUUAGAAGCCACUUCAAUGCACAACGGUGCAGCGUUGGAAGUUGCUUCAAUACACAACGGUGCGGCUUCAGAAGUUGCUCCAAUGCACAGCGGUGCAGGGUUAAAAGUUGGUUCUUCAACAAGAAUGGAAGCAAUCUUCUAUGACUAAAGGAAGUUACAGUAAAGUCAAUGAAAGUCCACAACAAUAUCUGUUGCAGAUUCCUGAAACUCAAGGAGAAAUUAUUAGAAGUGGAAUUUUGAAGAGAACUCUGAGAGGGUGCCGAGGGAUCUGCAACUGUUUGAAUUGCACAUCCUUUCGUCUACAUGCCGAAAGAUCGUUUGGGUUUUCAAAAAAUCAGAUGCAUGAUGCUGAGGAAGUUGCAUUAGAGCUGAUAAAUGAUUUGUCAUAUUUUCGUAACAUUCUAGAACCAACUUCUACUCUUGAUGCUGUCAAAUAUUGUUUUGCUGCAUUUUUAUUCUUGUGAAAAAAGUGCCGUUUUACUUGCUCUAAUGGGUCAAGUGAGUGAAAAAUAUUUUAAAGGAGACAAGUCAAAUGGUUCGCCAGUCGUCUAAAUGAAAUAGGAUAUACUUGAAGAAAGGUUUUUAUUUUUAUUAUUAUUAUAAAGAACCGAAGAACAGAACAGCGAUCAACUUUUCAUUGGAGAAACUGAGAAAGAGACCUUUAAGAUGAAGAGACCUGAUCGAUAUUCUUCGGGUUUAGGACUGGCAGGUAGGUAGGUGCACGGUUUUAAUGUAGUGUGUAUGGUUUACGCAGUUGUGUAGUUCGUUAUCAUGUCUAGCCAAAUAAAAUAAAUUUGUGUUGAGA